UGCCCCUAAGUCUGGGAUACCAUUUGGAAACAGGUGCUAAUACCGGAUAAUAAAGCAGAUCGCAUGAUCAGCUUUUGAAAGGCGGCGUAAGCUGUCGCUAAGGGAUGGCCCCGCGGUGCAUUAGCUAGUUGGUAAGGUAACGGCUUACCAAGGCGACGAUGCAUAGCCGAGUUGAGAGACUGAUCGGCCACAUUGGGACUGAGACACGGCCCAAACUCCUACGGGAGGCAGCAGUAGGGAAUCUUCCACAAUGGACGCAAGUCUGAUGGAGCAACGCCGCGUGAGUGAAGAAGGUUUUCGGAUCGUAAAGCUCUGUUGUUGGUGAAGAAGGAUAGAGGUAGUAACUGGCCUUUAUUUGACGGUAAUCAACCAGAAAGUCACGGCUAACUACGUGCCAGCAGCCGCGGUAAUACGUAGGUGGCAAGCGUUGUCCGGAUUUAUUGGGCGUAAAGCGAGCGCAGGCGGAAAAAUAAGUCUAAUGUGAAAGCCCUCGGCUUAACCGAGGAACUGCAUUCGGAAAACUGUUUUUCUUGAGUGCAAGAAAAGGAAAGUGGAACUCC
rnacentral:rRNA from 1 species